rnacentral:rRNA from 1 species
UACGUAGGGGGCUAGCGUUGUCCGGAAUCAUUGGGCGUAAAGCGCGUGUAGGCGGCCCGGUAAGUCCGCUGUGAAAGUCCAGGGCUCAACCCUGGGAUGCCGGUGGAUACUGUCGGGCUCGAGUCCGGAAGAGGCGAGUGGAAUUCCUGGUGUAGCGGUGAAAUGCGUAGAUAUCUGGAGGAACACCGGUGGCGAAGGCGGCAUCCUGGACCGACACUGACGCUGAAAAGCGAAAGCCAGGGGAGCAAACGGG